rnacentral:rRNA from 1 species
AUGAACGCUGGCGGCGUGCCUAAUACAUGCAAGUCGAGCGAACGGACGAGAAUCUUGCUUCUCUGAUGUUAGCGGCGGACGGGUGAGUAACACGUGGCUAACCUACCUAUAAGACUGGGAUAACUUCGGGAAACCGGAGCUAAUACCGGAUAAUAUUUUGAACCGCAUGGUUCCAAAGUGAAAGACGGUCUUGCUGUCACUUAUAGAUGGAUCCGCGCUGCAUUAGCUAGUUGGUAAGGUAACGGCUUACCAAGGCAACGAUGCAUAGCCGACCUGAGAGGGUGAUCGGCCACACUGGAACUGAGACACGGUCCAGACUCCUACGGGAGGCAGCAGUAGGGAAUCUUCCGCAAUGGGCGAAAGCCUGACGGAGCAACGCCGCGUGAGUGAUGAAGGUCUUCGGAUCGUAAAACUCUGUUAUUAGGGAAGAACAUAUGUGUAAGUAACUGUGCACAUCUUGACGGUACCUAAUCAGAAAGCCACGGCUAACUACGUG